rnacentral:rRNA from 1 species
UGGGGAAUGUUGGACAAUGGGCGCAAGCCUGAUCCAGCCAUGCCGCGUGAGUGAUGAAGGCCUUAGGGUUGUAAAGCUCUUUCAGUAGGGACGAUAAUGACGGUACCUACAGAAGAAGCCCCGGCUAACUUCGUGCCAGCAGCCGCGGUAAUACGAAGGGGGCUAGCGUUGUUCGGAAUUACUGGGCGUAAAGCGCACGUAGGCGGGUAUUUAAGUCAGGGGUGAAAUCCCAGAGCUCAACUCUGGAACUGCCUUUGAUACUGGGUAUCUCGAGUAUGGAAGAGGUGAGUGGAAUUCCGAGUGUAGAGGUGAAAUUCGUAGAUAUUCGGAGGAACACCAGUGGCGAAGGCGGCUCACUGGUCCAUUACUGACGCUGAGGUGCGAAAGCGUGGGGAGCAAACA